rnacentral:rRNA from 1 species
CAGUAGCCGCGGUAAUGCGUAGGUGGCAAGCGUUGUCCGGAAUUAUUGGGCGUAAAGGGCUCGCAGGCGGUUUCUUAAGUCUGAUGUGAAAGCCCCCGGCUCAACCGGGGAGGGUCAUUGGAAACUGGGAAACUUGAGUGCAGAAGAGGAGAGUGGAAUUCCACGUGUAGCGGUGAAAUGCGUAGAGAUGUGGAGGAACACCAGUGGCGAAGGCGACUCUCUGGUCUGUAACUGACGCUGAGGAGCGAAAGCGUGGGGAGCGAACAGGAUUAGAUACCCCGGUAGUCCCUGUCUCUUAUAA